GUAAUCUAAUUACUAAUUAAUUUUUCAUAAAUGGUAGAAUCUCAGUCCCAGUGGAACUCUCCUAUAGAGUUCUAGUCCAAGUAGGACUCUUCACCAGAGUCACAAUUUAAUUAGACUCUUCAGCCAUCAGAUCUGAUCAAAUCUUCUUAAUGCGUAUGACCUCAUAGGUCCGAACCUAAGCCAGUAGCAUAAGAACAACUUUCUAUACCAAUCAAUAUAACCAUCUAGCAAUGAUGAUCCGACGACC
rnacentral:lncRNA from 1 species